rnacentral:misc_RNA from 2 species
CAUGCUUGUGCAUCGAACUGCUUAAUUGCGAUCUCCUCAAUCAAAGCCCAUGCUCAUUAUAUUAUGUUAUGGGUGAAGGUCGGGUUCCUGUGUUGCAUACCCACGAAAGUGGAAAUCGAUUAUGUUGUGGGUUGGUAUUCGCCUAUGCCUAGUAAGAGCAUAUGGUGAACAUGGAAGCACCUCUUAUGUUCCAAACAUGUUUAUUCAACUGUUAUGGCACAUUAGUAGGUUGCUCGUGCUCUCGGAUGCGGAAAUUAAUUUGUAGCAAAGGGACCGGAUCCCUAAUUUGCUCAAAAUAUUCUAUAUUUACGAACGACACGCAAUACUUGUUUCCAGUCCCUUCAUGCUACGCUGUUGGCAUGCUGAGGAUUGGAACGGGUACUGUGUUCGUGAAGGAAUGC